rnacentral:misc_RNA from 1 species
GGGGUAAAAGGGACAGGUGAGUCAUCGAAUCUUUGAACGCACAUUGCGCCCGCCAGUAUUCUGGCGGGCAUGCCUGUUCGAGCGUCAUUUCAACCAUCAAGCCCCCGGCUUGUGUUGGGGACCUGCGGCUGCCGCAGGCCCUGAAAUGCAGUGGCGGGCUCGCUGUCACUCCGAGCGUAGUAGUUACAUCUCGCUCUGGGCGUGCUGCGGGUUCCGGCCGUUAAAAGCCUUAUUUACCCAAGGUUGACCUCGGAUCAGGUAGGAAGACCCGCUGAACUUAAGCAUAUCAAUAAGCGGAGG